AGAAACUUAGGUUAAACUAAACCGAGGGCCUUCAAAGCCCCAAAUACGGGAUAAGCCCCCUAGUUUCUG
rnacentral:tRNA from 1 species